UUUGCAUCCAUGGUUUUAUGGGAGAAAAUCACUUGUAUGGAUCAAAUUAGUCAUGUUAGUUGUAUGCCAAAACAGGAAAUUAAAGGGGACCUUGAUCAUGGUAAGAGGAUAUUGCAGUGCUCUUAACAAAAUCCAACCUGGUGGGUAUGUUUUACUAAUUUUGUUAUGUCCAUGUAGAUCAUUAGAGCUCUAUGUUUCAGUUAUUAUUUUAUUUAUUUGAAUUAUCCUGUUUUCGCUCCAUUUAAGUUGUACUGCUUUGCCAGUGGCUCGGUCUAGACAAGGAGUUUAAGAAGCUUGUAGUUGAAACCACUGCAAAUCAGGACCCACUGGUUACGAAGGGACCAGGAUUGGUUCCAUUGCUUGGCAUAGAUGUUUGGGAGCAUGCAUAUUACUUACAGGAAUUAAAUCAAGAGAGUGAGAUUUCAUCGCCAAAAGAGUUAGGAAGUAGGUCUUUUGGAGCAAGCAACAGAGCAGCAUGAAAUAUGAUGGAGAUUUUAUGUAUUAAGAGUUGCAUGUUAUGACAUUUAUAGUUGAAAAAUUAUGUUAUGUUUGAUACUUUGUAUAAGAGUUAUUACUUUUGAUUUCCAAUACUAAGAAAUCAUAUAUUAUGUUUAA